AGUGAACGCUGGCGGUAGGCCUAACACAUGCAAGUCGAACGGCAGCACAGUAAGAGCUUGCCCUUACGGGUGGCGAGUGGCGGACGGGUGAGGAAUACAUCGGAAUCUACUUUUUCGUGGGGGACAACGUAGGGAAACUUACGCUAAUACCGCAUACGACCUACGGGUGAAAGCAGGGGAUCUUCGGACCUUGCGCGAUUGAAUGAGCCGAUGUCGGAUUAGCUAGUUGGCGAGGUAAAGGCCCACCAAGGCGACGAUCCGUAGCUGGUCUGAGAGGAUGAUCGGCCACACUGGAACUGAGACACGGUCCAGACUCCUACGGGAGGCAGCAGUAGGGAAUAUUGCGCAAUGGGCGCAAGCCUGAUCCAGCAAUGCCGCGUGAGUGAUGAAGGCCUUCGGAUUGUAAAGCCCUGUUAUUAGGAAAGAAAAACAGCGGAUGUAUACCCCGCUGUUCUGACGGUACCCAAAGAGUAAGCACCGGCUAACUUCGUG
rnacentral:rRNA from 1 species